UCUGUGAGAAGAACAUCUCAAUCUCUGCAUCUCUCUUCUAAGCCAUAUCUUUAACCUGUCCAUGCUACAAUUCCUCUUCGAAAUCCUUCCUUGACAACCCGUAAUGCAUAAAAUCAACAACAGUCCAUGCCCAUAUUGAAGAACCGAAAAUGCAGGGCUACAUCUAUAUACCAACAUCCUUCACUAUCUUCUUAUUGGGCGCAAAUGUAUAAAAACCUCUGCUUUAUUAUUAUUAUUAUUUUUUAUGUAGUUAACGGUAGUUUACCAAAGUUAAUCAUAGGUUAUGUUAAAAUGAACCAAGAGUGAUGUGUCAUGUUUUAUAACCCUUAGAUUAGAUAGAAAAUGUAGAUUUUAUGAACUUUAACUAAAUUCACAUGCUCCUCAGUUUAGAGGAGCCGGAUCCAUUAGGGAUCCGUUUGUUUCAAAAUGUUGUUCUUGAAUGAAUAGAACUUCACCCAAUUAAUUUGAAACAUUAAUUUGGUAAUAACACCCAUAACACAAUUACUAAGCAUUCGAAUUUUAUCAUUUAUGUUUUGUGCUCUCUUCAAUCUAGUUUUGGAAUUGAUGCAGUUGGUUGCAUGUAGUGUCUCUAAUGGAGAUGGUGACUAUAUUGUGUUUUGGCAUAGGGAGUUUAGAUAUUUUGUUGUUGGUGAUGUUGUUGGUGAAAUUGAUGAUGCUAUUUCUUUUGCGUUUAAAUUUUUGGGUUUGAAUUGUGAUCAGCUUUGGAGAUUAGAAUAUGGGUUUCAACUCUGUCUUUGUGUUUUCUCUUAUGUUGGUGCUCUUCUGAUUAUUCUACUUUCUUUUGUUUGAGGAGUGUAGGACUCCAAUAUAGCAAGAAACAUGGGUCAAGUCUAAUAUAAGAAUAAACUAGGCUUAAUGAGUGUAGGACUCCAUUAAGAAUUAAGCCUAGCUAUGGUAGUCCUGUGUACCAAAUGUGUUGUUGAUGUGAUAAUAAGAGAGCCUAACCUGUCACACCCUGACCCCCGGAUGUUUUUUUUUCUUGAGUUGAAGGUGUGACUGGAAAAUAAAAAUAAAAUGGAAAUACAAACCAAAGAUAAUUUGAGGUUUUCAGAAAAAUAUGCAACUGAGCUAUAACUUUGAAAAAUCAUAACUAAUUUUAAAAACUUAUUUUCAAGAGAUUCUAGUUUUGAAACGAUCAUUAAGGUCUCUGUUCUAACUUUCAUGAAGAUGUCAAGUGGAAACAACUAACCAAUUUGUACAGUUUUUCGAAAGAAGGUAACUGGUCCAAAAUUUCAGAAAAAUACAAAUCUGCAGAAUUUCCUGAUGAAGACCCUAAACUUUGAAAAAUCAUAACUUAAUCUACAGAAAUUGUUUUCAAGUGAUUCAAAAUCUGGAAUGAACCUUAAGAUUUCUACUACAACUCUUAUGAAGAAACCAACUUCAAAUUUCUAACAAAACUAUACGGUUUUCAGAAGAAAGAUAACUGGUGCAGAAUUUCAGACACAAUGUUUCAAAUUUGCAGGUUUUGUUUUUGCCUUGAGUUUAAAUACACAGACCUAACUCUAAAAGCUGGAGGAUAAUGAAACCAAACAAAGGCCUUGGAAUUGACUGAAAAUCAUAACCAAUUCAUUGAGCAUACCAUGGAUUAAGAGAAAGAAUAAACUUAUAUUGCAGCAAAGUUACAAAUAGAUUUCAAUACAGAAUUCUUGAAAGUUCAUUAUUCCAACUAAAAUUAAAACAUAAACUUAAAAGGCAAAACCACAAACUGGCAACCUUUUGCUCUUAUUCUAUACAGAAAAUUAAAGAGACAAGCCACACACUUUCAUCACAUCAUGCACAAAGCUCUUCAAAUAGAGAAACUUAAACUUUAUGUUCAAUACCUGCACAAUAUAUUCUUAAGGGUGAGCAACGCUCAGUAGGAGGCUAGUCCUCUUUAAACAACAGAUGUCAACCAUAACAAUGCAUGAAUGCAAUGAUCCCUUCAAUAAUAACCCCUUCACCCAAACCAUGUUUCCCUUUUUGUUAGUCCUCUUGCUUAAUGUCGAUCACCAAAAUCGUACAGCCAUACUUGGUCCUUACGAAUUAAGCUCAACUACACAAAAGUAUUCUCCCACAAAUUUCAUUCCCAAAUUCACCAAUCUCCUGUCUCUAUUUUAUAUUCAUGAACAUGUUGAUUAACUAAGAAUAUAUCACAAAUAACACCUUAUCAAUAAUUCCACAAUCAAGUUUCAUAAACAAAAUCAUAUAUAACAAAACAUCAGCCAGAAACACAACAAUUACACAUAGCUUCAAAACAGCAAACAACAAACAAAACACAUAUAGAAUACCAGCAAACAAAACACAAUAAAUUAAAUAGAGGUUCCCGAGAUCUCCCUACCUCAAUUCAAAAGCUAUGAUUUUCAGAUACUCUCUUGUUCUCAGAAAAUUUUCCUUCCCUCACUAUUUCUUUUCUUUUUGUAAACACUAGAGAUAGGAAAACUCAAUGAAAAAUAAGAGAACAAAACCUGGUAUUUAUAUUACUAUGCAAACAGGUCAGAAUUCAAUUCUAGAUAGGAUAAGAUCGGAUGCCACCUCGAUAGGAAUCUCCACCUCCUGCUUCUUGGUAACUGAUUUCUCCAAGUCUUCUCCUAUAUGAACGACAACUCUACCUUCUAACAUUAUUAUUGUAGUGGUUCUGAUCUUCUAAUCUAAGUGGAGUGGUGCUUGCAAGGAGGAACAGAAAAGAGGAGGAUGACCACAAAGAGAGCAGAGGCCGAAUGAGGUUGAACACUUAUAUACAUACAUACAUAUAUACAACCCCCUUCCAUUGAGGGAUCCCUAUUUUUGGCCACUUUCUAGGGAUAGGGCAUUACACCACUUCCCAAUUGAAUUUUUACAUCUCCACCGUUCAUAUCUUAGGUCUAUAUGAGUAGAUCACAUCUACAAAAUUUCAUAUGAUUUGGUGAUCGUUAAGACUUUCAAAAGUUUGAUGUAGUUUUAAUGAUUUNNN
rnacentral:lncRNA from 1 species